GAAGCCAGUGAGACCACGAGCCCACCGGGAGGAAGGAACAACUCCAGACGCGCUGCCUUAAGACCUGUAACACUCACGGUGAGGGUCUGCAGCAUCACUCCUGAGCCAGCGAGACCACAAACCCACCAGAAGGAAGAAACUCCGAACACAUCCAAACAUCAGAAGGAACAAACUCCAGACGUGCCACCUUAAGAGCUGUAACACUCACCGUGAGGGUCCGCGGCUUCGUUCUUGAAGUCAGUGAGACCAAGAACCCAUCAAUUCCGGACACACUAGGAAGAAGAUUGCAUCCAGUUUCAUUACGGAACUUUGCUUCAAGGAUUAACUUGGGAUACAAGAAGAAAAAAAUCAAAAGCAAGAUGCUGAAAUUGCCUUGAGAGACUUCAAUAACAUCAGUUUAAAUUUGUCAUACCUCAAAUUAAAUUUCAAAGGAGACUAGUUAAAAGAAAGUUGGCAGAAAGCUGUUUUUUCCGGAAAGAAAUUGAACAACUAUCCACACGAAAAAUCACUGUCAUAAGAAACAAAAAUCAGGUAAAGUUAACUUCAUUUCUUGCCAUAAACUUCCUACAUUGCACACUGAAGAGCAGAAAUUGUGAGUAAUCUUAUGUGCUGUAUCAGUGAAGACGUGUCUUCCAAAAUAACAUGCUUACUUUGGAUUAAGAAAUACAUCUUAAUGUGUGAUAUGAAGGAAUAAGGUCUCAUUAGUUUGCCCUGACUGGUCUGCAACUCCUGCCUCAGGUGAUCCUCCCACCUCAGCCUCCCACAGUGCUGGGAUUAAAGAAGUAAGCCACUGCGCUCAAUCUACUUAUGUUAUUCAACUGGCUUGGACUUCCAGUAUGAUGUGUAAUGAAUUGUGAAAGUGGACUUACAUUCUCUUUGGAGAAAUAUGCUUAAUAUUUUCACUAUUAAAUAUGUUGUUAGAUGAAGAUUUUUCAUAAAUGUUCUUUAUAAAUUAGAAGCCCCAUUCUAUUUAUAAUUCAUUGAGUUUUUUCUUAAACAAGUUUAUAGAUUGUCAACUGUUCUUUUUGCAUUGAUUGAAAUAGUCUUACGACUAAAGAGACCACUUUUUAAAAUUUUUGAUGUCAUUGUGUGAGUUAGAAUAAUGGAUUUUUAAAUAUUAAACCAACUGUGUAAUACUGGCAUAAAUCUAAUUUUUCACUGGGUAUUUUCCUUUUUAUAUUUUGGUGAAUUUGAUUUUCUAAAAUUUUGUUUUGUUUUAUUUAUAAAACAUUUGACUUUGUAAUUUUCUUUUAUAAUUCUUGUGAGAUUUUUGGAUCAGGGUCUUCCUGGCCUCACAAAAGCAAUUGUAUAUUUUUUUCUGUGUUGUUUUCUAAAACAGUUUUGUUUGUUUAAUGUCAGUAUGUCUUUUUAAAACAUUUGAUAGACUUCAUCAGUGAAGCCAUCUAGGCCAAGAGAUUUUUGUGGAAGGGUUUUCCUUUAGGAUUUUAUUUUUUUAGUAGAUAUGGGGUAUUCAGGUUGUCUUUAUUCUUGGGUCAGUUUUUGCGAUUUGUGUUACCUAAAGAACUUGUCCAUUUCAUCUAUUGUGUCUAAUGGCAUAAAAUUAUUCAUAAUAUUCACUUACCUUUUUAGUGUCUGUAAGAUCUUUGUACUAUUUUAUUUCAUUCCUAUUAUUGUUAAUUGAUAAUUCACCUAUUUUUCAUUUUCAGUCUUGCCAUGCAUGCAUAAAAUAUCUUAAUAUUUUCAAAAAAAUCUCAUUUUUUUCUUCAUUGAUUUUCGUUGUUUUUACAUUUUCUAGUUCAGUGAUUUCUGAUCUUUUCUUUAUUGUGUCUUUUCUCAUACUUAUUUAAGUUUAUUACUCUUACUUUUCCAUCUUCUUGAUAUGAAAACUUAGAUUAUUAAGUUUAACAUGCUUUAAUUUUCUAAUGUAAGCCUUUAACACUAUGAGUAUCUAAGCACAAUCAAUAUGUUGUAUUAUUAAUGUUUGUUUCAAAAUUUUCUAAAUUUCUCGUUCUCUUUAGUGUAAUGGUUUUUAAAUAUCUUGCUUGAUUUCAAAUAUUUAGGGCAAUAUUUAACUUUAUGAUAGUCACAAAUAUAUUCUGUAUAGUGUUACUCCUUAAAAUGUCUUGAGAAUUGUGUUUUUUCUCUUAAGGAUAUUGUCUAUUCAUGUACACUCAAAAGAAUUUGUUUUCUAUACUUGUUGGAUUGGGUGCUUUGAAAUGUCUACUAAGCCUAGUUUUCUUAAGUAAGGUACUAAAAGAAGUUGUUAAAGUUUCCAAUUAUGAGGGUAGAUCUAUAUAUAUCUCCCAUUAUUUUGAUUAAUUUUUGAGUCAUAUGCUUUGAAGUUCUACUGUUAAAUAUGUUUCUGUAUUUGAUGAAUUGACUCUUUUAUCAUUAUGAAAUGUUUCUCUUUAUCUAUGGUACUACUCUAUUUAUGUCUGUUUUGUAUGAUAUUAAUGUAGCUAUUGCAGCUUUGUUAUGAUUAAUAUUUGCAUUUAUAUAUGUGUAUAUAUAUACAUACAUAUAUAUAUGUAGUUCUUCUCUUCUAAAUAACAUAUGGUUAGUUCUUGCUUUUUUAUUGCGAUAUUUUACUUUUAAUUAGAGUGUUGCAUAGAACAAUAACAAUAAUGAGAUUGAAGCUAUAAUAAAAAGUAUCCC